rnacentral:rRNA from 1 species
UAGGGAAUCUUCCGCAAUGGGCGAAAUCCUGACGGAGCAACGCCGCGUGAGUGAUGAAGGUCUUCGGAUCGUAAAACUCUGUUAUUAGGGAAGAACAAAUGUGUAAGUAACUAUGCACGUCUUGACGGUACCUAAUCAGAAAGCCACGGUUCACUACGUGCCAGCAGCCGCGGUAAUACGUAGGUGGCAAGCGUUAUCCGGAAUUAUUGGGCGUAAAGCGCGCGUAGGCGGUUUUUUAAGUCUGAUGUGAAAGACCACGGCUCAAACGUGGAGGGUCAUUGUAAACAGGAAGACUUGAGUGCAGAAGAGGAAAGUGGAAUUCCACGUGUAGCGGUGAAAUGCGCAGAGAUAUGGAGGAACACCAGUGGCGAAGGCGACUUUCUGGUCUGUAACUGACGCUGAUGUGCGAAAGCGUGGGGGUCAAAAAGG